rnacentral:rRNA from 1 species
UAAUAAGCGGAGGAAAAGAAAUUAACAAAGAUUCCCCUAGUAGUGGCGAGCGAAAAGGGAAAAGCCCAGCACCGAAUCUUGCGUGGAUCUCUAUGCGCCCAACAUAGCGCUAGGGCUCUCUGCGUGUAGAAAUGUGGUGUGUGGAGAGACCAUGCGUCUAGCGCCGUGCCGCCGUCGAAAUUGGGCCUGGAACGGAAUCCCGUAGAGGGUGAGAGGCCCGUGCUUGACGGAGGUUGGCUUGCUGGACGGUCUUCUCCCAUGAGUCGGGUUGCUUGAAAAUGCAGCCCUAAGAAGGGAGGUAAGCUACCUUCCAAGGCUAAAUAUUAACACGAGACCGAUAGCGAACAAGUACCGUGAGGGAAAGUUGAAAAGGACUCUGAAGAGAGAGUCAAAUAGUACGUGAAACCGUACGGAGGUAAACGGAUGGCAUCGCUUCCUAGUGAGGCGUGGGGUUCUUGUGCUAUAUCAGAUUUGCUCUGUCAAGGGGUUACUGCCGGUUCCGGUCCUACCUGGCCCCUCGCGACGGGGGUCUCUUAGGUCGAGGUUCCGGGCACACGAUGCGUGGGCAACCCUCACCCUUAGCCCUGGCAGGAAAGUACGUUGGUCAGUCUGACUCCCUCACGUCUCAUGCUGCCACCCGUUGGGAACCGUCCAGACUCUCCCGUCAGCUAUCCAAGUUCGGAUUCGUUCCAUUGGAGUUCGCGUCGGGUAACGAGUGAGACGUGCGCCCGACGGGCACCGCCGGUGUUAGCCAGCCUCUCAUUCUCCUGGGUUUCCGGGAGGGGGUGUGCCGAGUUCUUCGGUGGCUCUCAACCGGUUUUUUACAGUAAAACGGUGGCUGUAUUGUCGGGUGCCAUCCGACCCGUCUUGAAACACGGACCAAGGAGUUCGCCUCACCGGCGAGUCGUAGGGUUCUUUACGAGACCUGAGCGGCACAAUGAAAGUGACGGACGUUGGGACUCAUGGCGUCAGCGGCCGUUUGGACCAAGCAGAAGUCUUGUGGGGUGAUCCUGAACCGAGUGAAACUGCGGGAACCUUGCCCGGCGUGCGCGUCGGCUUGGGGAGUAGUGAAUCGAGGUGUUUAAACUCAGGCGCAACCCCCGGGCGGGCGCUACCCUCUCCUAGCCUUGGUGCCAUGCAGCGCCCUGGUUUUCUGGGGGGAAUGCGUCUCGUACCGUGAGCCGGUGGGACGAUACCCGAAAGAUGGUGAACUAUGCCUGGCCAGGACGAAGCCGGGGGAAACCCCGGUGGAGGUCCGUAGCGAUUCUGACGUGCAAAUCGAUCGUGAGAGCUGGGUAUAGGGGCGAAAGACCAAUCGAACUGUCUAGUAGCUGGUUCCUCCUGAAGUUUCCCUCAGGAUAGCUGGUGCUCAAACAAACGGAAUCACAUCCGGUAAAGCGAAUGAUUAGAGGCACUCCGGGGUCCACGGACCUCGACCUAUUCUCAAACUCUAAAUCGGGUGUUGGGCGCGCUGACCAAAGGCAGCCGUCGCAACGAUCCGUGGGUGCUCAGUGGGCCAUUUUUGGUAAGCAGAACUGGCGAUGUGGGAUGAACCAAACGCGUGGUUAAGGCGCCUAAACGAUGCUAAAUUACCGAUACGGUAAAGGGAGUCGGUCGCUCUAGACAGCAGGACGGUGGCCACGGAAGUUGGCACCCGCUAAGGAGUGUGUAAAAACUCACCUGCCGAAGCGACCGGUCUCGAAAAUGGAUGGCGCUCAAGCAUCGUGCCGAUACCACGCCGUUCGGGCAGAGCUCGCUCAACGGUGCGCAUACGCCCGAACGAGUAGGGAGGCGCGGCGGUGGCAGAGAAGCGUUCUGGGGGUGACCCUGCGUGGAGCCGCCGUCGGUGCAGAUCUUGGUGGUAGUAGCAAAUACUCUGGAGAGAAAACUGACCUGAAGGCCGAUGUGGAGAAGGGUUUCCCGUCAACAGAGAUUGGUCGGGAGUGAGUCGGUCCUAAGCCUCUGACGAACAGUCAGCCACUCCAAGGCGCCUCGUUCCAUCACAUGCCGAUUCCUGGUCUUCCCGACCAGGCCGAAAGGCAGAMGGUUCGUGCGUGCCGGAGUUCGCGAGGUGAAAGGGAACACGGUCUGAAUUCCGUGACCCAGCCGUGGGUGUUUCGUUAAGUGGUGAAUCGACGAAUCGGUGCAGGUAGCCGUAUACCCAGGGGUUCUCGCCAUGCAGCGGUUCUCCUUGGGCCAUGGUCCUCGCCGGUCGGUCACCGCCGCGGUAACGCCACAUGGGCGCCGAAUCAGUUGGUACACUGGACAGGGAAGAGCUAUCUUUUCUGCUUAAGGUGCUGUAGGCCCUGAAAACUUGUCGCUUGGCGAGUGGGUUCACGGUUACCGAAGAGCACCGCAGUCCUCUAGCGGUGUCCUGUUCCAGGUACCGGCCCUUGAAGGUUCGGUUGUUGGCCCUCCGCACUCCGGUGCCGGAACCCCACGGCGGCACGUACCAAUUACCGCAUCAGGUCUCCGAGGUC